GGGUUGUGAGGUUAAGCGACUAAGCGUACACGGUGGAUGCCCUGGCAGUCAGAGGCGAUGAAGGGCGUGCUAAUCUGCGAUAAGCGCCGGUAAGGUGAUAUGAACCGUUAUAACCGGCGAUACCCGAAUGGGGAAACCCAGUGUGACUCGUCACACUAUCAUUAACUGAAUCCAUAGGUUAAUGAGGCGAACCGGGGGAACUGAAACAUCUAAGUACCCCGAGGAAAAGAAAUCAACCGAGAUUCCCCCAGUAGCGGCGAGCGAACGGGGAGGAGCCCAGAGCCUGAAUCAGCAUGUGUGUUAGUGGAAGCGUCUGGAAAGGCGCGCGAUACAGGGUGACAGCCCCGUACACAAAAGCGCAUGUGCUGUGAGCUCGAUGAGUAGGGCGGGACACGUGGUAUCCUGUCUGAAUAUGGGGGGACCAUCCUCCAAGGCUAAAUACUCCUGACUGACCGAUAGUGAACCAGUACCGUGAGGGAAAGGCGAAAAGAACCCCGGCGAGGGGAGUGAAAAAGAACCUGAAACCGUGUACGUACAAGCAGUGGGAGCCCCACCACUAAGCCAGUGGUGAACUCCACAUACGCAUCCUUUGCUGAGGAUACGGUUAACGGAGCGAAAGCGACGUUCAACCUCAAAAGAAGCAGAGGGGGCUUAGUGGUGGGGUGACUGCGUACCUUUUGUAUAAUGGGUCAGCGACUUAUAUUCUGUAGCAAGGUUAACCGUAUAGGGGAGCCGUAGGGAAACCGAGUCUUAACCGGGCGUUAAGUUGCAGGGUAUAGACCCGAAACCCGGUGAUCUAGCCAUGGGCAGGUUGAAGGUUGGGUAACACUAACUGGAGGACCGAACCGACUAAUGUUGAAAAAUUAGCGGAUGACCUGUGGCUGGGGGUGAAAGGCCAAUCAAACCGGGAGAUAGCUGGUUCUCCCCGAAAGCUAUUUAGGUAGCGCCUCGUGAAUUCAUCUCCGGGGGUAGAGCACUGUUUCGGCUAGGGGGCCAUCCCGGCUUACCAACCCGAUGCAAACUGCGAAUACCGGAGAAUGUUAUCACGGGAGACACACGGCGGGUGCUAACGUCCGUCGUGAAGAGGGAAACAACCCAGACCGCCAGCUAAGGUCCCAAAGUCAUGGUUAAGUGGGAAACGAUGUGGGAAGGCCCAGACAGCCAGGAUGUUGGCUUAGAAGCAGCCAUCAUUUAAAGAAAGCGUAAUAGCUCACUGGUCGAGUCGGCCUGCGCGGAAGAUGUAACGGGGCUAAACCAUGCACCGAAGCUGCGGCAGCGAACGUAUCACCCAAGACAACUUUACGGAGUUGACGAUUGACGGAGCGAAGCGACGUCAAAGCGUUCAUUAAAGUCGAGUUGGCUUAGGGAUACGUUCGUUGGGUAGGGGAGCGUUCUGUAAGCCUGUGAAGGUGGCCUGUGAGGGUUGCUGGAGGUAUCAGAAGUGCGAAUGCUGACAUAAGUAACGAUAAAGCGGGUGAAAAGCCCGCUCGCCGGAAGACCAAGGGUUCCUGUCCAACGUUAAUCGGGGCAGGGUGAGUCGACCCCUAAGGCGAGGCCGAAAGGCGUAGUCGAUGGGAAACGGGUUAAUAUUCCCGUACUUGGUGUUACUGCGAAGGGGGGACGGAGAAGGCUAUGUUGGCCGGGCGACGGUUGUCCCGGUUUAAGCGUGUAGGCUGGUUUUCCAGGCAAAUCCGGAAAAUCAAGGCUGAGGCGUGAUGACGAGGCACUACGGUGCUGAAGCAACAAAUGCCCUGCUUCCAGGAAAAGCCUCUAAGCAUCAGGUAACAUCAAAUCGUACCCCAAACCGACACAGGUGGUCAGGUAGAGAAUACCAAGGCGCUUGA
rnacentral:rRNA from 1 species